rfam:Colletotrichum gloeosporioides Nara gc5 unplaced genomic scaffold scaffold703, whole genome shotgun sequence.
ACAUACGACCAUACCCAUUGGAAAACUCGGGAUCCCGUCCGCUCUCCCAUAGAUAAGCCAAUGAGGGCUGGAGUAGUAGUCGGGUCGGUGACGACCGGCGAAUGCCCGGUGUUGUAUGUU